AAGUCGUAACAAGGUUUCCGUAGGUGAAACGUUAAACCCCCCUGUGAACCUUCACCUGUACUCGGACGUCCGUUAGAAAAAGCAGCAAUCCCUGGUAAAUCAUCGCCGAACAGUUUUCGAUUCAGGGAUGUCUGCAAGGAGCGUGCAUGUUGUGCGAGCAAGUGGCCUGGCAUCCCCAAGCAGUUAGUGUAUUAACUGUGUAAGGAUGACGCAGUCACGAUCGUUGGAGGCCCACACGGGUCACUGGGCGCAAGCCCCCCUAUAACAAACGCUGCUAAUCGCGGCCGCGAUAAUACGCAGUCGACCAAAAACCGAACAACUGAUAUCUUGGUUCUC
rnacentral:misc_RNA from 1 species